rnacentral:rRNA from 1 species
GAUCAUGGCUCAGAUUGAACGCUGGCGGCAUGCUUUACACAUGCAAGUCGAACGGUAACAGGUUAAGCUGACGAGUGGCGAACGGGUGAGUAAUACAUCGGAACGUACCCUGUAGUGGGGGAUAACUACUCGAAAGAGUGGCUAAUACCGCAUACGAUCUACGGAUGAAAGUGGGGGACCGUAAGGCCUCGCGCGAUUGGAGCGGCCGAUAUCAGAUUAGGUAGUUGGUGGGGUAAAGGCCCACCAAGGCGACGAUCUGUAGCUGGUCUGAGAGGACGACCAGCCACACUGGAACUGAGACACGGUCCAGACUCCUACGGGAGGCAGCAGUGGGGAAUUUUGGACAAUGGACGCAAGUCUGAUCCAGCCAUUCCGCGUGCAGGACGAAGGCCUUCGGGUUGUAAACUGCUUUUGUACAGAACGAAAAGGUCUCUAUUAAUACUAGGGGCUCAUGACGGUACUGUAAGAAUAAGCACCGGCUAACUACGUG